rnacentral:rRNA from 1 species
UACAGAGGUCUCAAGCGUUGUUCGGAUUCACUGGGCGUAAAGGGUGCGUAGGCGGCGCGGUAAGUCGGGUGUGAAAUUCGUGACUUAACUCCGAAACUGCAUUCGAUACUGCCGUGCUUGAGGACUGGAGAGGAGACUGGAAUUUAUGGUGUAGCGGUGAAAUGCGUAGAGAUCGUAAGGAAGACCAGUGGCGAAGGCGGGUCUCUGGACAGUUCCUGACACUGAGACACGAAGGCCAGGGGAGCAAACGGG